CAAGAUAAAACUAAAUAGUAAAGUAUUUCAUUUACACUGAGAAUUGUUCUGUGCAAAUCAGAAUAUCUUGA
rnacentral:tRNA from 2 species